GUCUCAGGCGCUGCAGCUGUUUGUCAGCAGCAGGGGAUGCAUUGUGUUUUUUGCGAGGCUGAGAGGCCGUGUCCUUGGAGAGUGCAGGUUGUGUGUAGCGAUCCCAGCGGGUCCGUGCCGUGAUGAGCCAAGGGAGGCCGUGCGAGGCGCCUCUUGUCCCCUAGGUGGAGGGCUAGGUGCCGUUUGGCUGGAUGGAGGCAUGGCGUCGGUCCCCGUUUCUCCCGAAGUGGCUUUUGAGGUGAGUGGAGUGCGGGCAGCGAUUUUGCUGCAGGGCAGUGUUGAGUUUGGGUGAGGGCAUUGGAAUGUGUGCCCUCCGGGCAUGCGCGGAGAAGUCUCCGCCCCGAAAGGUUCCCGCGGUUGGAAAUCCCGCCCAAAGGUCUUUAAAAGCCGGCGCCUGCCCUGCCUGGUUUUUGUCGGCAUUGCGGCUGAGCCAGGCGUUGUGCGGCUGAUGGAAUGGACGUGGAAGUCCUGAGCCGCGUGUCAUGGUGCGUUGUUCGUGGGGCAAGGUACUCCCCCGUUGUCGGCUGAGGUUUCCGUCUGUCUGUCCCUUCAUCUCUGCCUGUGCUUCGAAGAUGUUUCAUGCGAGAAGGUUGACGGAAGGGCGAUGUCCCCGCUGGCUGUUGGGUGUGAUGGAAGAGGCCAGGACUCGUGUGGGCAGUUGUUGGAGGGAGCCGCGGCGGACCGGUGGAGGGGGUGGUGAGUUGUGACAGUCCUGUUGUGGGUGCCGUGCAGGCGUGUGAGGGUCUCCCCCGCCGCGGCCCCCCCCAACAGUGUGCGUGGUGUGGUUUGGGUUCUUUCCCAGUGUGUGUGGUGAAGGCUGGUGUAGAAAUGUUUGUUGAUUUUUCUUUUCAGGGGCUGUCAUUUAUGGAAGGUGGACGUUCCGGUUUGUCCAUCCCUGCGAGGUCGUUGUUGUUUGGAGCGUCCCUGUGCAGUUUUCCAGCGUGUCCUUGGGCGGAUGUCUUUGUGCCGUGAAGAGGAACGUACAGCACAGCAUGACCCGUCUGGCCAAAGCAGGAGAUAUGCAGCAGAGCCCAG